rnacentral:tRNA from 1 species
CCGAGGGGUGUGCGUACACAAAGAACUGCUAAUUCCUUUCCCCAAAGUUAAACUCUUUGGACCCC